AUUGAACGCUGGCGGCAGGCCUAACACAUGCAAGUCGAGCGAGCGGCGGACGGGUGAGUAAUGUCUGGGAAACUGCCUGAUGGAGGGGGAUAACUACUGGAAACGGUAGCUAAUACCGCAUACCAUCAGAUGUGCCCAGAUGGGAGUGGCUCGUGGGUGGGGUAAUGGCUCACCUCGGCGACGAUCCCUAGCUGGUCUGAGAGGAGGACCAGCCACAAUGGAACUGGGACACGGUCCGAACUCCUACGGGGGGCAGAAGUGGGGAAUUUUGCACAAUGGGCGCAAGCCGGAUGCAGCCCUGCCGCGGGUAUGAAGAAGGCCUUCGGGUUUAAAAGUACUUUCAGCGGGGAGGCGUUACCCGAAGAAAAAGCAACGGCUAACUCCGUGCCAGCAGCCGCGGUAAUUC
rnacentral:rRNA from 1 species